rnacentral:pre_miRNA from 1 species
UGUGUACUCCCUCCGUCAGGAAAUACUUAUCAUUGAAAUUGAUGUAUUUAGAUGUAUUUUAGUUCUAGAUAUAUCCAUUUUCAUCCAUUUUGAUGACAAGUAUUUUCGGACAGAAGGAGUACAUC